rnacentral:tRNA from 1 species
ACACCGUUGGUGAAGUGGUUAUCAUGCUUGCCUUCCAUGAUGCUUGCGAAAGCCAGGUUUGAGCAAGCGGCUCGGGUUCGAUUCCCGAACGGUGUA